AUUGAACGCUGGCGGCAUGCCUUACACAUGCAAGUCGAACGGCAGCACGGGUGCUUGCACCUGGUGGCGAGUGGCGAACGGGUGAGUAAUACAUCGGAACGUACCUUAUCGUGGGGGAUAACGCAGCGAAAGCUGUGCUAAUACCGCAUACGCCCUGAGGGGGAAAGCGGGGGAUCGCAAGACCUCGCGCGAUUAGAGCGGCCGAUGCCUGAUUAGCUUGUUGGUGGGGUAAAAGCCCACCAAGGCGACGAUCAGUAGCUGGUCUGAGAGGACGAUCAGCCACACGGGGACUGAGACACGGCCCAGACUCCUACGGGAGGCAGCAGUGGGGAAUUUUGGACAAUGGGGGCAACCCUGAUCCAGCAAUGCCGCGUGAGUGAAGAAGGCCUUCGGGUUGUAAAGCUCUUUUGUCAGGGAAGAAACACCGGCUCUAACACAGUCUGGGAAUGACGGUACCUGAAGAAUAAGCACCGGCUAACUACGUGCCAGCAGCCGCCGUAA
rnacentral:rRNA from 1 species